rnacentral:rRNA from 2 species
AGUCGAACGAACUCUGGUAUUGAUUGGUGCUUGCAUCAUGAUUUACAUUUGAGUGAGUGGCGAACUGGUGAGUAACACGUGGGAAACCUGCCCAGAAGCGGGGGAUAACACCUGGAAACAGAUGCUAAUACCGCAUAACAACUUGGACCGCAUGGUCCGAGUUUGAAAGAUGGCUUCGGCUAUCACUUUUGGAUGGUCCCGCGGCGUAUUAGCUAGAUGGUGGGGUAACGGCUCACCAUGGCAAUGAUACGUAGCCGACCUGAGAGGGUAAUCGGCCACAUUGGGACUGAGACACGGCCCAAACUCCUACGGGAGGCAGCAGUAGGGAAUCUUCCACAAUGGACGAAAGUCUGAUGGAGCAACGCCGCGUGAGUGAAGAAGGGUUUCGGCUCGUAAAACUCUGUUGUUAAAGAAGAACAUAUCUGAGAGUAACUGUUCAGGUAUUGACGGUAUUUAACCAGAAAGCCACGGCUAACUACGUGCCAGCAGCCGCGGUAAUACGUAGGUGGCAAGCGUUGUCCGGAUUUAUUGGGCGUAAAGCGAGCGCAGGCGGUUUUUUAAGUCUGAUGUGAAAGCCUUCGGCUCAACCGAAGAAGUGCAUCGGAAACUGGGAAACUUGAGUGCAGAAGAGGACAGUGGAACUCCAUGUGUAGCGGUGAAAUGCGUAGAUAUAUGGAAGAACACCAGUGGCGAAGGCGGCUGUCUGGUCUGUAACUGACGCUGAGGCUCGAAAGUAUGGGUAGCAAACAGGAUUAGAUACCCUGGUAGUCCAUACCGUAAACGAUGAAUGCUAAGUGUUGGAGGGUUUCCGCCCUUCAGUGCUGCAGCUAACGCAUUAAGCAUUCCGCCUGGGGAGUACGGCCGCAAGGCUGAAACUCAAAGGAAUUGACGGGGGCCCGCACAAGCGGUGGAGCAUGUGGUUUAAUUCGAAGCUACGCGAAGAACCUUACCAGGUCUUGACAUACUAUGCAAAUCUAAGAGAUUAGACGUUCCCUUCGGGGACAUGGAUACAGGUGGUGCAUGGUUGUCGUCAGCUCGUGUCGUGAGAUGUUGGGUUAAGUCCCGCAACGAGCGCAACCCUUAUUAUCAGUUGCCAGCAUUAAGUUGGGCACUCUGGUGAGACUGCCGGUGACAAACCGGAGGAAGGUGGGGAUGACGUCAAAUCAUCAUGCCCCUUAUGACCUGGGCUACACACGUGCUACAAUGGAUGGUACAACGAGUUGCGAACUCGCGAGAGUAAGCUAAUCUCUUAAAGCCAUUCUCAGUUCGGAUUGAAGGCAGCAACUCGCCCACACGAAGUCGGAAUCGCUUGUAAUCGCGG